ACUGCACUUCCUGCGAGGCCCCUGCAGCAGCAGCGGCGUGGUCAGAGCGAGCUUCGGAGAAGCAGUGGUGGGUUCCAUGUGAUGGUGGAGUAGGAGGCAGGUCUCCGCGGUUUCUUCAUGUGGCUGCAGAUGGCAGGAUUUCCCAAAGGUUUCUGGCUGAAACAUAUUCCGUGGUGUAUCUGUACAGCAGUUUCCUCAUCCCUGCAGCUGUGUUUGAACAGGUCAUUUACCAUGCUGUCCUCCAGGUUCAACAGUAUGGCUCCAAAGGAUGAAAUUUCAUUCUGAUUUUCUGGCUGAAGACUAUUCUCUUUGUGUAUGUCCACCACAGUUACUUUAUCCCUUCAUCUGUGGAUGGGCAGUCUCGCUGUAUUGCCCAGGCUGGAGUGCAGUGGCAUGAUCUCAGCUCACUGCAAGCUCUGCUUCCUGGGUUCACGCCAUUCUCCUGCCUCAGCCUCCUGAGUAGCUGGGAUUACAGGCACCCGCCACCACGCCCAGGAAAGAAAAAAGAAGAAAACAAACCUCCAUACGAGAAUGGGUCUAAAGGAACUUCCCAAACCUCCAUGAUUUUGCAGGAA
ensembl:lncRNA DUXAP10 double homeobox A pseudogene 10